rnacentral:tRNA from 1 species
UCCUGGUGGCUUAGCUGGUUGAGCGUCUGACUUCAGUUCAGGUCAUGAUCUUGUGGUUCGUGAGUUCAAGCCUCACACCAGGCA